rnacentral:rRNA from 1 species
UGGCAUUAACGGCGCGCUACCAUGCAAGUCGAACGAUGACCCCGUGCUUGCACGGGUGAUUAGUGGCGAACGGGUGAGUAACACGUGAGUAACCUGCCCCCGACUUUGGGAUAAGCCCGGGAAACUGGGUCUAAUACCGGAUAUGACUUCUUACCGCAUGGUGGGUUGUUGAAAGAUUUAUCGGUGGGGGAUGGACUCGCGGCCUAUCAGCUUGUUGGUGAGGUAAUGGCUCACCAAGGCGACGACGGGUAGCCGGCCUGAGAGGGUGACCGGCCACACUGGGACUGAGACACGGCCCAGACUCCUACGGGAGGCAGCAGUGGGGAAUAUUGCACAAUGGGCGAAAGCCUGAUGCAGCGACGCCGCGUGAGGGAUGACGGCCUUCGGGUUGUAAACCUCUUUCAGUAGGGAAGAAGCGAAAGUGACGGUACCUGCAGAAGAAGCGCCGGCUAACUACGUGCCAGCAGCCGCGGUAAUACGUAGGGCGCAAGCGUUAUCCGGAUUUAUUGGGCGUAAAGAGCUCGUAGGCGGUUUGUCGCGUCUGCCGUGAAAGUCCGAGGCUCAACCUCGGAUCUGCGGUGGGUACGGGCAGACUAGAGUGAUGUAGGGGAGACUGGAAUUCCUGGUGUAGCGGUGAAAUGCGCAGAUAUCAGGAGGAACACCGAUGGCGAAGGCAGGUCUCUGGGCAUUUACUGACGCUGAGGAGCGAAAGCAUGGGGAGCGAACAGGAUUAGAUACCCUGGUAGUCCAUGCCGUAAACGUUGGGCACUAGGUGUGGGGGACAUUCCACGUUUUCCGCGCCGUAGCUAACGCAUUAAGUGCCCCGCCUGGGGAGUACGGCCGCAAGGCUAAAACUCAAAGGAAUUGACGGGGGCCCGCACAAGCGGCGGAGCAUGCGGAUUAAUUCGAUGCAACGCGAAGAACCUUACCAAGGCUUGACAUGUGCCAGACCGCCUCAGAGAUGGGGUUUCCCUUCGGGGCUGGUUCACAGUGGUGCAUGGUUGUCGUCAGCUCGUGUCGUGAGAUGUUGGGUUAAGUCCCGCAACGAGCGCACCCUCGUUCCAUGUUGCCAGCACGUAGUGGGGGGACUCAUGGGAGACUGCCGGGUCACUCGGAGGACGGUGGGGAUGACGUCAAUCAUCAUGCCCCUUAUGUCUUGGGCUUCACGCAUGCUUACAUUGGGCCGGUACAAUGGGGGUUGCCG